UACAGAGGGGGCAAGCGUUGUUCGGAAUUACUGGGCGUAAAGGGCGCGUAGGCGGCCUUCUAAGUCGAACGUGAAAUCCCACGGCUCAACCGUGGAACUGCUCGGUAUACUGCGGAUCUUGAGCCACCUAGGGGCAACCGGAACAAAUGGUGGAGCGGUGAAAUGCGUAGAUAUCAUUUGGAACGCCAAUGGUGAAAACAGGUUGCUGGGGGUGUGCUGACGCUGAGACACGAAAGCCAGGGGAGCGAACGGG
rnacentral:rRNA from 1 species